rnacentral:rRNA from 1 species
UACGGAGGGUGCAAGCGUUAUCCGGAUUCACUGGGUUUAAAGGGUGCGUAGGUGGGCAGGUAAGUCAGUGGUGAAAUCCCCGAGCUUAACUUGGGAACUGCCAUUGAUACUAUUUGUCUUGAAUACUGUGGAGGUUAGCGGAAUAUGUCAUGUAGCGGUGAAAUGCUUAGAUAUGACAUAGAACAUCAAUUGCGAAGGCAGCUUACUAGGCUGUAACUGACGCUGAGGCACGAAAGUGUGGGGAUCAAACAGG